rnacentral:tRNA from 1 species
UCGCAGUUCAAGCCCAGAUACCUUCCCUGACACGGAAGAGGUCACUGGUUCAAUCCCAGUAUCGCGCACCA